rnacentral:rRNA from 1 species
GCACCUUCGGGUGUGAAUUAGCGGCGAACGGGUGAGGAACACGUGAGAAAUCUGCCUUCAACACUGGGAUAACUCCGGGAAACCGGGGCUAAUACCGGAUAUGAAAUCUGCGGGCAUCCGCGGAUUUGGAAAGUUUUUCGGUUGAAGAUGAUCUCGCGGCCUAUCAGCUUGUUGGUGAGGUAAUGGCUCACCAAGGCGACGACGGGUAGCCGGCCUGAGAGGGCGACCGGCCACACUGGGACUGAGACACGGUCCAGACUCCUACGGGAGGCAGCAGUGGGGAAUAUUGGGCAAUGGAGGAAACUCUGACCCAGCGACGCCGCGUGCGGGAUGAAGGCCUUCGGGUUGUAAACCGCUUUCAGCAGGGAAGAAGCGAAAGUGACGGUACCUGCAGAAGAAGCACCGGCUAACUAUGUGCCAGCAGCCGCGGUAAUACAUAGGGUGCAAGCGUUGUCCGGAAUUAUUGGGCGUAAAGAGCUCGUAGGUGGUUCGUCACGUCGGAUGUGAAACUCUG